rnacentral:rRNA from 1 species
CGGGGGGAGCAAGCGUUGUUCGGAUUUACUGGGCGUAAAGGGCGCGUAGGCGGCCACCGCAAGUCGACUGUGAAAUCUCCGGGCUUAACCCGGAAAGGUCAGCCGAUACUGCGGGGCUAGAGUGCAGAAGGGGCAACUGGAAUUCUCGGUGUAGCGGUGAAAUGCGUAGAUAUCGAGAGGAACACCUGCGGCGAAGGCGGGUUGCUGGGCUGACACUGACGCUGAUGCGCGAAAGCUAGGGGAGCGAACGGGAUUAGAUACCCCGGUAGUCCUAGCCUUAAACGAUGAAUGCUUGGUGCCUGGGGUUUUAUAGUCCCCGGGUGCCGUCGCUAACGCUUUAAGCAUUCCGCCUGGGGAGUACGGUCGCAAGACUG